rnacentral:tRNA from 1 species
GGGGAUUUAGCUCAGUGAUAGAGCACUUGCCUAGCAAGUGCAAGGCCCUGGGUUCGGUCCCCAGCUCCA